AUGCCAUGAUGAGGGCAUUUUCGUAAUAACUCCUUAAACUGCUCCCAUGCCUAUAAAGAUUCUUCAUCAAGUUGCUGAAAUGAAGUAAUCUCAUUGUGGAGCUU